rnacentral:rRNA from 1 species
CCUACGGGUGGCUGCAGUGGGGAAUAUUGGACAAUGGGGGGAACCCUGAUCCAGCCAUGCCGCGUGUGUGAAGAAGCCCCUCGGGUUGUAAAGCACUUUCAGUGAGGAAGAACGCCUGGUGGUUAAUACCCAUCAGGAAAGACAUCACUCACAGAAGAAGCACCGGCUAACUCCGUGCCAGCAGCCGCGGUAAUACGGAGGGUGCGAGCGUUAAUCGGAAUUACUGGGCGUAAAGCGCGCGUAGGUGGCUUGAUAAGCCGGUUGUGAAAGCCCCGGGCUCAACCUGGGAACGGCAUCCGGAACUGUCAAGCUAGAGUGCAGGAGAGGAAGGUAGAAUUCCCGGUGUAGCGGUGAAAUGCGUAGAGAUCGGGAGGAAUACCAGUGGCGAAGGCGGCCUUCUGGACUGACACUGACACUGAGGUGCGAAAGCGUGGGUAGCAAACAGGAUUAGAUACCCUGGUAGUC